GCACGGGUAGUUUAGUGGUAAAAUCCUGCGUUCCCAUUGCAGGGCCCCGGGUUCGAUUCCCGGCUCGUGCA